CCAAGGAGUCUAACAUGUGCGCGAGUCAGUGGGACUCGAACAAGCCCACGGGCAGAACGAAAGCGAUCGGUCGGGAUCCGCACUGCUCGCAGUGUGGCGCACCGACGGCCCGACGCCUGUAUAGGCGAUCGGAGCGUGAGCGUACACGUUGGGACCCGAAAGACGGUGAACUAUUCCCGGGUAGGAUGAAGCCGGGGGAAACUCCGGUGGAGGUCCGCAGCGGUUCUGACGUGCAAUUCGAUCGUCGAACCCGGGUAUAGGGGCGAAAGACUAAUCGAACCGUC
rnacentral:rRNA from 1 species